rfam:Oryzias latipes mitochondrial DNA, complete genome.
AAGCACAAAAGUUUGGUCCUGACUUUUCUAUCAACUCUAGCUAAACUUACACAUGCAAGUAUCCGCAGUCCCGUGAGAAUGCCCUACAGUUUCCUUAAUGGAAACAAGGAGCUGGUAUCAGGCACAAUAUAAUGCCCAUAACACCUUGCUUAGCCACACCCCCAAGGGAACUCAGCAGUGAUAGACAUUAAGCAAUAAGUGAAAACUUGACUUAAUUAAGGCUAAGAGAACCGGUUAAACUCGUGCCAGCCGCCGCGGUUAUACGAGGGGUUCAAGCUGAUAGAUAACGGCGUAAAGAGUGGUUAAUUUAAAAGAGAAGCUAAAGUGGAAUGUUUUCAAAGCUGUUAUACGCACCCGAAAAUAAGAAGACCAAGAACGAAAGUAACUUUAACUUUAUGAAUCCACGAAAACUAUGAAACAAACUGGGAUUAGAUACCCCACUAUGCAUAGCUGUAAACUUUGAUGAACUGUUACAUUAUCAUUCGCCAGGGUACUACGAGCACCAGCUUAAAACCCAAAGGACUUGGCGGUGCUUUAGACCCACCUAGAGGAGCCUGUUCUAGAACCGAUAACCCCCGUUAAACCUCACCCUCCCUUGUUCUUUCCGCCUAUAUACCGCCGUCGUCAGCUUACCCUGUGAAGGACAAAUAGUAAGCAAAACCAGUAACACUCAAAACGUCAGGUCGAGGUGUAGCAUAUGAGAGGGGAAGAAAUGGGCUACAUUCCUUGCUUCAAGGAAAACGGAUAGUAUAAUGAAACGUGUAUUAGAAGGAGGAUUUAGCAGUAAGCAGUAAAUAGAGAGUUCUGCUGAAACUGGCCCUGAAGCGCGCACACACCGCCCGUCACUCUCCCCAAAUCCAGUUUUAAACAUAAAUAAACCCUUCAAGGAAUAAAGGGGAGGCAAGUCGUAACAUGGUAAGUGUACCGGAAGGUGCACUUGGUAAAAUCAGAGU